GACAGAGGGGGCAAGCGUUGCUCGGAAUUACUGGGCGUAAAGGGCGCGUAGGCGGGAUGGCAAGUCGGUCGUGAAAUCCCUCGGCUCGACCGAGGAACGUCGAUCGAUACUGCUGUUCUUGAGGAUUGCAGAGGAGACUGGAAUUCCCGGUGUAGCGGUGAAAUGUGUAGAGAUCGGGAGGAACACCGGUGGCGAAGGCGGGUCUCUGGGCCGAUACUGACGCUGAGGAGCGAAAGCGUGGGGAGCGAACAGG
rnacentral:rRNA from 1 species